GCAAACUUGGUCAUUUAGAGGAAGUAAAAGUCGUAACAAGGUUUCCGUAGGUGAACCUGCGGAAGGAUCAUUAUUGAAUAAACCUGGUGGGCUGUCGCUGGCUCCUUGGAGCAUGUGCACGUCUGCCAUCUUUAUCCAUCCACCUGUGCACAAUAUGUAGUCCUUGGGGGUCACUGAACAAGUAGCGGCCGACGGCGGCCGUGAAAGUGCCUUGUCCUUCAGGUCUAUGUCCUUUUUACAUACCACUUUGCAUGUUAAUGAAUGUGAUGGGCUGGGUCACUGUACCCAUAACAAAUGUAAUACAACUUUCAGCAACGGAUCUCUUGGCUCUCGCAUCGAUGAAGAACGCAGC
rnacentral:misc_RNA from 1 species